rnacentral:rRNA from 1 species
CUGACGACCGGCGCACGGGUGAGUAACGCGUAUACAAUUUGCCUUUACAGGAGGAUAGCCCAGAGAAAUUUGGAUUAAUACUCCAUGGUAUUAUAAGAUCGCAUGGUUUUAUAAUUAAAGUUUCGGCGGUAGAAGAUGAGUAUGCGUCCUAUUAGCUAGUUGGUAAGGUAACGGCUUACCAAGGCGACGAUAGGUAGGGGUCCUGAGAGGGAGAUCCCCCACACUGGUACUGAGACACGGACCAG